GUUAUGGGAGGUAUAUGGGUUGAGUUGAAUAUCACAAAAGCAAAUUUUGAUUUUUGAUGAAUGGUUUUUGCAUGUUCUAUAGCGUGUGUGCAGCCCUGAUAAACCUACACUUUUUACAGGUUGCACGAAAGCAUUCCGUCUUGUAGCUGUUCCAUUCUUAACUUCAGCUGAUUCACAGUAUGUGAAGGAUGCAUCAGCAAUUGUCAGGCCAUAUUUUCUACAUCAAACAUUCAUUGUUCUUGCCAUCCUCUUCUGAACCCUUGCCAAGAGGUCUUCAUCUAUCUUGAAGAGUGAUUCCCAGGAUAUAAUAUAACAGACAAAUUCUUUCUGAUGCUGAAUGGAAAGGAGGGAUUCCAUGCAAUGUAGAAACUUUCCAUUUAAAAAUGCUGGUAUAAAAUUUUCUCUUUUCACAGCUUUGCCUUUUGUUGGUUAACAUGUUAUGUUUUAGUAACUGAAACAUGAAGCUAAUUUCUAAACAAUUUCUUACUUGCUAGUUUGGUUAUCACAGCUGAAAUUCAAAACUACUGCUCUUUGCAUUAUUGAAGAUGCACAUUAUUAAUUUCAAAACAUUAAGGUAAGUGUGAAUUCUAGCUCCCAUCAACCAGCAUGCUAUUACACCUUCCAGGCUGUUCUCUGUUGUCAGUUUAAGAAAUGUACAACCUAUUCCACCAUCCCAGCCAUUAAUGAUAAUACUGAAUUGGAUGAGAUUAGCAAAUUUUUAUCAGCAUUUGUCCUGAACUAGCCCUUUGCACUUGACAGCCAUGUGCCAUGGAGUAAACAGCAGCAUAAAUUGAGCCACGUGGAGACAUUGGGAGUAGCUUAUGGCUCCAGGUUUGGGCUUCACAAUAGCUGACUGGUAAUCAGAAUUCAGCCAUUCUGUACUAAAGAAUUGCAUCCUGCAAUGUGUGGCUGCAAGGCAUUGACAGAGGAUAGUUUGCAUUGGGACAACUCUGUGGCAUGUAUUCAAGAUAUGUUGUUUUUCCUAAGCUUAUAGUUCUGGCUGAUAUUGAUGGAUUUCACUGAUGAAAGGAUGGUGUUUUGGCAAUAGCAGUGAAAGAUCAUUUUCUUCAUACUUGGGGAAUAGCUAUCAGUCAGAACAUGAGGAAGAUAAAUGGUUCCUCUGGGACAAUUCUGAGAGCUGGCUGCUUCACUGUUGGAGUACAGCUCUCAGGCAAUCUGCGAAAGCACAAUCAGCAUGAGUGCUGUAUAUUUAGAAAAUACAGGUGUAGGAUGAACCAGUGGUAAUCUUAGAAGAGGUUCUUUUUAAGCACAGCUUGGAUCAGGCAGGAGAUUUGCUACCAGCAUUAACAGAGUCAGAUACUGUGCAAUGUGAAAGAAAUACUGCUGCAUUCUGCUGAGCCACAAAUGAGAGACAGCAGGGGUGAGGUUGUGCUGGGGAAUGUGUGAAACACAAAUGGAAGUUAAAAGCAUGCUGGGAAGUGAUGGCACAGUUAUUUGUGUUUAAGAAGUUGAGCAAAUGCAAUAUCUAAAAAAAAAAAAGAAAUAGUCUUUCCAGCACUAUCUCGUCUCUUUGUUUGUAGUUUGCAAGACCUUGAGCUCUGUUCCUCCCCCAGGUACAAAUGUCUGAUUGGAUUAUUAAUAUUGCAUCAACUUUAAGCUUGUUUGUUUUAGCCCAGAGUCACUAAAUUUUAGUUUUCUUAAAACCAACUGUAAAUUUCAAACGCUAGUUAAAUAGCAAGUCUUGUUUUGAAAAUCACAAAACACUCAUUUCAGUAGAGGACAUGUUUUGGUGCCAAGUUUAUUUUCUCCCCUUCACCUUCCUUUUAUGUGUCUUAAUUCACCUGUCUUCCUCUUAUUAUAUUAUUAAAUUGAGUGAGGAAGAGAUUUUUGUUCAGUGUUUGCAUAGCAGCCAGCACAGUGAAGUUCUGGCUUAGGCUACUGGGGGCUUCACCUAUGCAAUUUGAGUUCUACCUUGUCAACCAAAACGUACCAGCAGCUGCUGUAUUGCAUUUCACUAUUGUAGUUGUGUGUUUGUUGUCCAAGAGGCAAAUUCUUUUAUCACUAUAAUUCUAUGGAAUUAACAAUGCAGCAUCUAUACAUAGAAAAGGUAUUUUCCAUUUGAUUACUUCAUCUCACAGUGGUCACAAUAGAACCUACACAAGUGUAAAACAGAGUGUCUGGGACUGAAAAGGUAUAGUACACUUACUUCUCAUUAGCUGUGACUUAGUACCAAAUGGAAAUGAAAAUUACUUGAUUAUUUGGCAGGAAGUUUUAAACUAAUACAGGGAAAUACUCUUUCACAUGAUAUGAACUUCAGUUACGGAACUCAUUGCUGCAGGCUGUGGAUUCACAGAAGGGUUAUAAAAGGCAAGGUCACAGAUAUCUUAGGAAGUCCUAGGCUAUCAACACUGGAAAGUUAGAUAAAUAUACUGGGGAAAUUAUCUCACUGUAAGCUUGCUUUUCAGUUUGUUGGGUUUUUUGUUUGGUUGGGGGGGGGUUGUUGAAUUUUUUUUAUUUUAAAAUGUUUGUUUCUUUUGUUUUAAUAUCUCUUCCCAAGACUUCUUUUACUUUUUAGUAGAAACCUUUCGGUAUGACACGACUUAUUUGGAUCUUUGACUCACUGCAGCCACUGUUACAUAGGUAGAAGCCAAGUGUGCUGGGUGACUCCUAGUCUGCAAUUAUGGGAUAACAGUGUUGGGAAGCUUCAAGCGUCACUUGUUUGCAGCCAGGAGUUCUCUGAGCUCUUUCUUCAAGUUAACAAACAUUAGGAAAACAAAUUGAUCUGUGAUGAUUUUGUAAUCAGAAUGACAGUUUGAACAGCAGAAUGGGUGACACAGUCCAAACACUUGUGUGUGCAUUUUUUCUUCUCCAUAAGUGAUUUCAUGUAGGAGAACUUGAGAUCUGGGUAGGGUCAACAGGUCACUUCUAAUGCACAAUCUUGUUGGAUUCAUGACAAUUUAUAGGAGGUCAUUCUUACUUACCCGUCCUCAUCAGACUAAUGCUCUAGACAGAGAGCCCCACACAGUAAGAACAUGCAGAUGCCUGGCUUCAGCUGUGUCUGUAAAUCAUGCUACAGGCCACCUUUGCCUUACAUCAAACCUCCCCUUGGCCAGGCUAGAGAGAGGCUCCCCUUUUGCCCAUAUGAAUCACUUCUCUCAGUCCAAGUAAGUUCAGUUUGUCUCUGGUCUACAACCCUAUUGCAGUCAGCACAGCCACUUCACAUCCACCUGGGGAAGCAGAGGUGAACAGAAAGAGGACAAAGGUGGAUUAAAAAGGGUGCUUAACAAUUCCCAUGCUUGGUCAUGAAGGCUGUGACAGUUCAUUUGAAGGUCACAAAGAGCAGUUCUGAGAAGCUGUGAGGGUUUUUUUCUGCUGUGUUUAACUGUUUGUCUUGUGUUCAGCUCAGUCACAAAACAGAACAUUCUCACUGUCUACUGAAGGUUAGAUGUGAUGAAGUCUUUUUAUCUGACUUUCAUGCUUUAAAAGUAAAUAAACGAAUACUAAAUAAAAGCUCAAGGGCACACACACUCUUGGUUUUUACAGCCUUGCUCAGUCAUCCACAGCAUGAACAGCAAGUUAUGUGUGUGGUUACAUCUACUUCUUUGUAGUUCUGAUUAUUCAGCAUGAAAAAGGGAACUGAUGGUACAUUUUGUGGAAAAAGCAACACCAUCAUUUAAAAUUAAGGAAUUGGUCAGUCUAGAGCUUUGGAACCA